UUGUUGCAUUUUUGGCAAUCAAACAGAGUAUUUCUCUUUUGAUUUUGCCAUCCAGGUACCAGAGAUAUAUUUGGCCAAAUACUUGAAGAAGGAAUGAAGAAUGUUGAAAAUGCCAUUCUGUCUGGAUGUUCAGCCGGUGGAUUGGCAUCGAUUUUGCAUUGUGAUAACUUCAAAGCUCUUGUUCCCAUGGUUGCUAAAGUAAAGUAUUUUGCUGAUGCAUGGUAUUUUAUUAACGCGAAGGAUAUCUCUGGAGCACCACAUAUAGAGGAUUUCUAUUAUGAUGUUGUCAAGACACACAGUGAACCAAUCACAGAGCCAGUGGGUGCAGGCAUUCCUACAAACCCCCCAUUUACGAUAUUAAUGUACCAGACUAGAUCAAAUUGGCAUUUAUAAAGGUUUAUUGGAAAACUGCAGCAAGACAUUCCUGGUGAACUGGUCAAUAAAUAGUUAGAGGGGCUAUGUGUUAUCUAUUACUUAAUCCACCUUCACAAGCAUCAGGGUGAUUUCAUUGCUACAAGCUGCAUAACUCAAAAGCAGGCUAGCUAAUGAUCAAUUCAGAGUCUUGUAUUCUUUUACUCUAUUUUCUUUGAAUCACUAGUUAAUUCUUUUUUUACUCUUUUAUUAGAUGCCUGUAAAUUGAAAAUUGUCUAAUUUGGA